rnacentral:rRNA from 1 species
GACGAACGCUGGCGGCGGGCUUAACACAUGCAAGUCGAACGAAGUGUCGAACGGGUGAGUAAUACGUGGGUAACCUUCCCUCCUUUUUGGGAUAAGCCUUGGAAACGGGUUCUAAUACCGAAAUUAGGGGGAUGGGCUGGGUGCCUAUCGGCUUGUUGGUGGGGGGGUGGCCUACCAAGGCGGUGACGGGUAGACGGCCUGAGAGGGUGACCGGCCAGUGUGGGACUGAGAAACGGCCCAGACUGGGACGCGGGGCAGCAGUGGGGGAUAGUGCAGAAUGGGCGAAAGACUGAUGCAGCGACGAUGCGUGGGGGAUGAAGGUUUUAGGGUUGUAAACUUCUUUCGCAAUCGAACGGGUAGGUGGAGAAGAAGCGCCGGCUAACUACGUGCCAGCAGCCGCGGUAAUUC